UGGGGAAUAUUGGACAAUGGGCGAAAGCCUGAUCCAGCCAUGCCGCGUGUGUGAAGAAGGUCUUCGGAUUGUAAAGCACUUUAAGUUGGGAGGAAGGGCAGUAACCUAAUACGUUGCUGUCUUGACGUUACCGACAGAAUAAGCACCGACUAACUCUGUGCCAGCAGCCGCGGUAAUACAGAGGGUGCAAGCGUUAAUCGGAAUUACUGGGCGUAAAGCGCGCGUAGGUGGUUUGUUAAGUUGGAUGUGAAAUCCCCGGGCUCAACCUGGGAACUGCAUUCAAAACUGACAAGCUAGAGUAUGGUAGAGGGUGGUGGAAUUUCCUGUGUAGCGGUGAAAUGCGUAGAUAUAGGAAGGAACACCAGUGGCGAAGGCGACCACCUGGACUGAUACUGACACUGAGGUGCGAAAGCGUGGGGAGCAAACAGGAUUAGAUACCCGUGUAGUCCCUGAGCGGGCUGGCAAGGCGCAU
rnacentral:rRNA from 1 species